rnacentral:lncRNA from 1 species
ACCCAGAGGUUGCAGUAAGUCUGGAUGCCACAUCAAACUGUUUGUGGUACUUCUAAACUUCGUGGAAGAGCCCUGUUUCAUAAAUCUGAGACAGCCUUGGUCUGAGGGAGCAAAGACAGAGAAUUCACGUGCUGCCCAGGCAUAGCCACAUAGCAGGUGGACAUCCCUGGACACUUUUCUGAGAUUUUAUGUCAUAGACCCUCAUUGGAUUUUCCUGGAAGUACGGAGAGUUACAUCCAGAGAACUCUGAACAUUUUGGAAGGACCCCAAUCCUGCAAACAAUGAAUGGCAAUAAAUCCUGGGACUGGAAAGGGGCUUCUCAACCCCAAGGCAACCAUAAAGUCCUAUACAAAGAAAGAUACAGCAGUGUGAAAGAGGCCUGGAUGAAAAAACAAAGACAGAGCCAGUGAGCCAGAGCCAGAGCCAGAGGACAAGAGAGAAAGGCAGAGAAUGGAAAACACAGACAGAGAAGGCAGAUGCGUAGAGAGACAGAGAUUCAAUGAGAAAAUAAGGAAGGAAGAAAGAAAGAAAACAAAAACGUUCUCAGCACUACAACUUCUGCCUUGUUCUGUUCCAGAACAGUAUGAGCUCAGUACUUUUUCAGACUCUCAAUUUUCUACAACUAAUAAUUUGCUCUUUCAGUUAGUGGCAAAGGCUUAACGACAAAGGUUCAUCUUUAAUAUUAGAGAGGCACUUUUAAAAUUUAUGAUGCUAAGCCUUUUGUUCUGGAUAUGGUAUGUUGCACAGGUCUAGGGACUGGGAUUUCAGAUGUCUAUUCCGUACCCUUAUUCUUUUAUUUAUUAAAUCUUUUAGUGUGUA